rnacentral:rRNA from 1 species
UAGGGAAUAUUAGUAAUGGGCGAAAGCCUGAACUAGCAACACCGCGUGUGCGAAGAAGGCCUUCGGGUUGUAAAGCACUUUUUGAGAGGAUGAGGAAGGACGGUACUCUCAGAAUAAGUCUCGGCUAACUACGUGCCAGCAGCCGCGGUAAAACGUAGGAGGCGAGCGUUAUCCGGAUUUACUGGGCGUAAAGCGUGUGUAGGCGGUUUGAUAAGUUGGAUGUGAAAGCUCCUGGCUUAACUGGGAGAGGUCGUUCUAAACUGCCGGACUAGAGGAUGGUAGAGGGAGGUGGAAUUCCGGGUGUAGCGGUGGAAUGCGCAGAUAUCCGGAGGAACACCAGUGGCGAAAGCGGCCUCCUGGACCACUCCUGACACUCAGACGCGAAAGCUAGGGUAGCAAACG